rnacentral:lncRNA from 1 species
UAUAUAUAUUUUAUUAAAAUAAACUAUAUAUAACUCGAGUUCGGUUUUUAUUUUUAUACGAUUCUACAGAACAGACUGUAUUAAAUAAAGAUUUUACUAUAAAAAUUUUCAGUUAAACAAAAUGGCAACAUUGGGAUUAAUAAAAAUAAAGCGAGUCAUGCCUUUUUUAUUUAUUUAAGUAGGAGCAGCACAUCUGUUUACUUUAUCAAACCCCUUUCAGGAUUUAAGAGGAAGGAAGGAUUGACUAGGAGAAAUGAUUUUGACACCCAGGAUGACAAUAAAAGAACAAUAAUUGCCACUUAUGCCUUUUUCUCCUCUAACAAUAAAAAUCAUGCGUCGACAAAAUGCUAUAAAAACAGCAAGAGUUGUCCUUCUUAAUAAUUCGAAAGUAUAUUGCUCGUUCAAUUCUAUCAUGCCGUAUAAUUGUAUAUUACUGUUGAGGAUCGAAAUAAAACGCAUUAAAAUGCAUAUUUAUCACGCGGAACUGCUAGGAAGAAAAAUAAAUAAAUAAUAAUAAUGCAAUAUUUGCAUAAACUGUCUACAGUAUAGCUACAUCCAGCAUUUCUUAUUUGCACUGGUGAUCAGGAAAGGAAUGCCAUUUUUUAUUUAAACAACUUACCUAAAUUUAUUAUACAUGUAUGUAGGUAAUUUAAUUUAAAAUAUUCUAUGUAAAAUAAUACAGAUUUUAGGCAUAAGUCACAUUAAUUAGUACAGGUAUGUUGAAAAUGCUAAUUAAUAAAAAAAUUUAUUUGAUUUUACG